UAUAAUAUAUAUUACAGUAAAUAUGUUUCGUGGCCAAAACGUCCACCUUGGGAGGUUCCCGUGGCCAAAACAUCCUAGGGUGACAUCCCAUGGCCAAAACGUCCGUGGGCAAAUCAUCCGUGGCCAAAUCAUCCUACAACCUAGCAUGCUCAAACAAAAGAACCUAUCACUGUGAGUGAUCUCGUGCGUGCACAAAUGAGUGACAACCUAAUGGCAUUACCUCAGUGUCUGCCAGUCCAUCGCAUGUGUGGGUGCAUUGCAUCCCAGCGCUGACAUGGCACUGUGUGAGCUUGUUCCUCCAAAAUCUGGCUAAUGAGGAUGAUGGAAAGCAGCCGACCCACCAAACAAUUCAAAGCUGAAAAAAGCAUAAAAAGAGGAAGAGGAGGUGGUGAGAGUAGGACUCUAACUGAAGUUAGGAAGAAGCAAAUGGAUUACAAGAGUGUGAUGAAGGGCCAAGUUGCAAUUAUAUGACGACAUAAUGACUAGACGGGUAACCCAUGUUAUAGAGUACAGAGAAGAGGAUUCAACUUGUUAUACUUUCUGGGGGUUGUAGCCACCAGAAAUUGCUGAAGAAAUGAAGACCAUGGAUCCAGAGUGUCCACCAAUGUGGAUAAUGUGACUGUUCUUAUCCCUGUGGUUCAGACUUAUGGAAUACUCAAUCAAGAUAGCUACCUGGUUGGGCUGUGACCGAGCCAUCUGGAAGGCCCGCAGGCGCCUGGAAAGGAGAGUUGGAGGGUCAGGAGCAAUCGUCACAAGUCAUAGCAGCGGUGCAGUAGGAGCGGCGGUAAUACUGCUUGGGAGGCUGACUACUGGCAACCACUGAUUCUGAAGCAGAGCUGUUCGUAGUGGUGAACUCAGGCUUCAUCUUAGCCAGAGUCUCUCGCUGUAUGAUAGCCGACUGUGGAAAUAAAGGAACAAAGAUUAAUAAACACUGAAAUGACACAGUACCAAAGCAAAAUAAAAAUAUUUUCCUUAGAUCA